GACAAACUCAAUACUACUACUUGGGAUUAUUAAUUGGAAACUAUUUCUAGCUACUUGGAAAAGAAAUGGGUUUUUUGACCAUACCCAUAAAAGUAAAAGUUAGGUCUUAAAUACUCCACCUAUUUAUUUCAACCGUGCGAAUUAUUACCACAUAUUUUGUACCUAUAAGUUUUGGAUAUACAUCCCUACUCUCACUAGCUAGUUACGAGUUUGAUAAAAAAAAAAAUUUGAAACUAAAGAAGAACUUAUGUGUUACCUUUAAAAUAGUGUCUCUUAACCAACUAGGAAAAUCGACGGUGCAAAAAACGCGCAUACUGUGCAAAACGAUAAGCUAAACGUGAUUAUCGUUAAUAAGCAAAGACGAUCGAGCAACUCGAAUAAUGUCGAGAGUAUCCUCCGGCAAAAACGGGCCUUCUUCCUCCGGGCUAGCCAUCACACGAGCCGCCAACAUCGAAUCUGUGCAAACUUCAAUGAAAGAUUAAACUUCUAUUGUAAACUAGAAAACAAAGAGUAUGGUUGUGGGCUUUCACCAUAACUUAUGGUGGAAUCAAUAAUAUAAUUG
rnacentral:lncRNA from 1 species